UGUAAUGACAUUUCUCCAGGUGUUCCUGGAAUAUCUAAAGCUCCUGAGAUAUUACGUUCUUAAGAAUGGGACAGAUGGACGGAUGUACAGACAACCUGAAAAGAUUCUGCUUCUGGCCCCAGCUGUUUGGCAGCAUGGAGGCACAAACACAACAGAAGGUAGCACUCAGAUUUUCUGCUCCCUCUUUGGUCACACUUGUCAGCAGCAGGGCCAGUAUGUUUGUGGUAAAGUGGGCCUCUUCAGUUUGUGGUUUGCAUGUCUGUCUCUUAUCUCUAACCAAACAGAAAGCUUGGCUGCAGCUUCUCACAGACUUGCUCCUGAAUAAAAGCCAGUGCAUCCAAAGUUCAAGUACCUCUGGUUCGACACUGUGAUUGCCGAGACGUAAAGAAACAUAUAACAAUUUAUGGCCACGCUGCUCCCCUCCUCCACGUUAUGAGCCAAUGUCACCUCUCCUGUUCAGAGCAGGCGAUCCAAACUGAUGAGCUGCUGUUUGUUUGGCUACAGGCUGUCUCCGAUGAGACACGAUGCUGUCACUUGGAUUUCAUGGCAGCAGCCCCGAUGGCACUGAAUCACCAUCUGAGUCUCUCACCGCCCCACGUUCCAUCAAGCGCAGGUUUUCCAGCAAUUUCACAAUUUUCCAUGCUUGUAUUUGUUCUUUUUUAUUACUGUUUAUUACUAUUACUGUUAUUCUUUAUUUAUCCAGACAAGUGCAAAUGUUUUGCUUUACAACGAUGACUUGAUUAUUCUUCUGCCAAUAUUCACAUCUGCAAUGAUUCUGUGCUGAUGGUCAAUCUGCUGGAGCAGUUGGGAGCAGAGUGCCCUGCUCAAAGGCACAUAAAUCAGUUUUUUGGCCAGAGUGACUGGAGCUGUACAAUGAUCUGAGAGACUGGUUUAUAACACAGCAUGAUAUUUGGGCUCGGACAGGCUCCUCUCAGGACUUGGGCUCGGGUCACAGAGAAUGAGGGUCGUACGAUGUGUUGUUUGUACAGUGUGUUGUCAGACCACAUCGAGAGUCUUCAUCCUGGAUCAGGUUAAAAAGCAUCACAGAGAACAGGGGACGUGUUGAUGGUUUAAAAUGGGGAUAAUCAUUUCCAGAUCCUCUCCUGGCAGACAGACAUCCAUCGUGUUGCAGCUGGUGCAUCUGAGUCAAAAAGGAAAAAGUGAGUGAGAGUGGUUUGGACUUUUAGAUUGUGUUCUAUGUUGUGAAUUUAUAUAUCACUUGAGUCCUUAAAUGAAAUCAAGAUGUUAAUAUGUUGCACACGUUUAUGUUUUUACUCAUAUGUUGAGCUUCUUAUCUGUUGAGUCAUCUGUUUACUGUUAUUUUUACACCAGGGUUUAGGAUGAAAACAGCAUUUCAAUCCCAUCCAAUGUCAAACUGAAAUCAAAUUCCUUGUGUGCAUAUGUAUACUUGGCCAAUAAGUUGUAUAUAAAUAAAAUUCUCAUUCAUGCAUGUUGCUGUGGGAAUAAUGUGAAA